CUCUGUCCUCACCCUGACAGUUCUGCUUCCAGUCCUCGUGGUGCACAGCACGCCUCUGGCAUUGAUGGUUUGCAUGUCUCCCAGCUUCUCCCUACACAUUGAUGCCAUUUGUGAGCUUCUCAUUCCAGAACUUCCCAAAGACCUGCUUUCUGUACUGUGCCAAAAAGAUCCUCUCUGGGAUUUUAGGAAUGUUGAGACGUGCUGGUUAUAAAACCCUAAGUACAAAAUGGUCACGGAUGGCUGGAAUGAGGCAUGUUCUAAUGGAAACAAAUCACUUGUCAGAAGGAUACAAGAAUUUUUGGAAGGACCCCAUAGUAAUUCCUGGACUAAGGCUGUGCACACCACUGCAACAUAGGAAAGUUACUAAGCUCUUAGAGAGCAUCCAGAGGAGGGCAAAGAAGAUGGUGAAGGGCCUUGAGGGG
rnacentral:lncRNA from 1 species